ACGAACGCUGGCGGCGUGCUUAACACCUGCAAGUCGAACGGUGAAGCGCCUUCCUUUUUGGUGGGUGUGGAUGAGUGGCGAACGGGUGAGUAACGCGUGAGUAACCUGCCCCCUUCUUCUGGAUAACCGCAUGAAAGUGUGGCUAAUACGGGAUAUUCUGGGUCUGUCGCAUGAUGGGUCUGGGAAAGAUAUUGUUUCGGUGGGGGAUGGGCUCGCGGCCUAUCAGCUUGUUGGUGGGGUGAUGGCCUACCAAGGCGGUGACGGGUAGCCGGCCUGAGAGGGUGGACGGUCACACUGGGACUGAGACACGGCCCAGACUCCUACGGGAGGCAGCAGUGGGGAAUAUUGCACAAUGGGCGCAAGCCUGAUGCAGCGACGCCGCGUGAGGGAUGGAGGCCUUCGGGUUGUGAACCUCUUUCGCCAGUGAAGCAGGCCUGCCUCGUUUGUGGGUGGGUUGACGGUAGCUGGAUAAGAAGCGCCGGCUAACUACGUG
rnacentral:rRNA from 1 species